rnacentral:rRNA from 1 species
GACGAACGCUGGCGGCGUGCUUAACACAUGCAAGUCGAACGGAAAGGCCCUGCUUUUGUGGGGUGCUCGAGUGGCGAAAGGGUGAGUAACACGUGAGUAACCUGCCCUUGACUUUGGGAUAACUUCAGGAAACUCGGGCUAAUACCGGAUAGGAGCUCCUGCUGCACGGUGGGGGUUGGAAAGUUUCGGCGGUUGGGGAUGGACUCGCGGCUUAUCAGCUUGUUGGUGGGGUAGUGGCUUACCAAGGCUUUGACGGGUAGCCGGCCUGGGAGGGUGACCGGCCACAUUGGGACUGAGAUACGGCCCAGACUCCUACGGGAGGCAGCAGUGGGGAAUAUUGCACAAUGGGCGGAAGCCUGAUGCAGCAACGCCGCGUGCGGGAUGACGGCCUUCGGGUUGUAAACCGCUUGCGCCUGUGACGAAGCGUGAGUGACGGUAAUGGGUAAAGAAGCACCGGCUAACUACGUG